rnacentral:rRNA from 1 species
GACGAACGCUGGCGGCGUGCCUAAUACAUGCAAGUCGAACGCUGAAGAGAGGAGCUUGCUCUUCUUGGAUGAGUUGCGAACGGGUGAGUAACGCGUAGGUAACCUGCCUUGUAGCGGGGGAUAACUAUUGGAAACGAUAGCUAAUACCGCAUAACAAUGGAUGACACAUGUCAUUUAUUUGAAAGGGGCAAUUGCUCCACUACAAGAUGGACCUGCGUUGUAUUAGCUAGUAGGUGAGGUAAUGGCUCACCUAGGCGACGAUACAUAGCCGACCUGAGAGGGUGAUCGGCCACACUGGGACUGAGACACGGCCCAGACUCCUACGGGAGGCAGCAGUAGGGAAUCUUCUGCAAUGGGGGCAACCCUGACCGAGCAACGCCGCGUGAGUGAAGAAGGUUUUCGGAUCGUAAAGCUCUGUUGUAAGUCAAGAACGGGUGUGAGAGUGGAAAGUUCACACUGUGACGGUAGCUUACCAGAAAGGGACGGCUAACUACGUG